rnacentral:rRNA from 1 species
CUUACCUACGGGGGGCAGCAGUAGGGAAUCUUCCACAAUGGGCGAAAGCCUGAUGGAGCAACGCCGCGUGGGUGAAGAAGGUCUUCGGAUCGUAAAACCCUGUUGUUAGAGAAGAAAGUGCGUGAGAGUAACUGUUCACGUUUCGACGGUAUCUAACCAGAAAGCCACGGCUAACUACGUGCCAGCAGCCGCGGUAAUACGUAGGUGGCAAGCGUUAUCCGGAUUUAUUGGGUGUAAAGGGAGCGUAGACGGGCUGUUAAGUCAGCGGUAAAAGCCCGGGGCUCAACCCCGGCGAGCCGUUGAAA